rnacentral:rRNA from 1 species
UACAGAGGUCUCGAGCGUUAGGCGGAAUCACUGGGCUUAAAGCGUGCGUAGUCGGUUAUCUAAGUCAGGUGUGAAAUCCCCGGGCUCAACCUGGGAAUUGCAUUUGAUACUGGAUAGCUAGAGUUCGGCAGAGGGAAGUGGAAUUUCUGGUGUAGCGGUGAAAUGCGUAGAUAUCGGGAGGAACAUCAGUGGCGAAGGCGGCUACCUGGCCCAAUACUGACACUCAGGUGCGACAGCGUGGGGAGCAAACAGG